AUGAGGAGACUGAGUUUGUGGUGGCUGCUGAGCAGGGUCUGUCUGCUGCUGCCGCCGCCCUGCGCACUGGUGCUGGCCGGGGUGCCCGGCUCCUCCUCACACCCGCAGCCCUGCCAGAUCCUCAAGCGCAUCGGGCACGCGGUGAGGGUGGGCGCGGUGCACUUGCAGCCCUGGACCACGGCCCCCCGCGCGGCUAGCCGCGCUCCGGACAGCAGCCGGGCAGGCGCCCAGCGGGAUGAGCCGGAGCCAGGGACUUGGCGGCCCCCGGCGCCCUCGCCGGGCGCACGCUGGUUGGGGAGCACCCUGCAUGGCCGGGGGUCGCCGGUCGCCCGGAAGCCCGGGGAGGGCGCUGGGGCCGAGACCCUGUGGCCGCGGGACGCUCUCCUCUUCGCCGUGGACAACCUGAAUCGCGUGGAAGGGCUGCUGCCCUACAACCUGUCUUUGGAAGUAGUGAUGGCCAUCGAGGCGGGCCUGGGCGAUCUGCCGCUUUUGCCCUUCUCCUCCCCUAGCUCGCCGUGGAGCAGUGACCCUUUCUCCUUUCUGCAAAGUGUGUGCCACACCGUGGUGGUGCAAGGGGUGUCGGCGCUGCUUGCCUUCCCUCAGGGCCAGGGCGAGAUGUUGGAGCUCGACUUGGUCAGCUCGGUACUGCACAUUCCAGUGAUCAGCAUCGUGCGCCACGAGUUUCCGCGGGAGAGUCAGAAUCCCCUUCACCUACAACUGAGUUUAGAAAAUUCAUUAAGUUCUGAUGCUGAUGUCACUGUCUCAAUCCUGACCAUGAACAACUGGUACAAUUUUAGUUUGUUGCUGUGCCAGGAAGACUGGAACAUCACUGACUUCCUCCUUCUUACCCAGAAUAACUCCAAGUUCCAUCUUGGGUCUAUUAUCAACAUCACUGCUAACCUCUCCUCCACCGAGGACCUCUUGAGCUUCCUGCAGGUCCAGCUUGAGAGUAUUAAGAACAGCACACCCACAAUGGUGAUGUUUGGUUGCGACAUGGAAAGUAUACGGCGGAUUUUUGAAAUUACCACCCAGUUUGGGGUAACACCCUUUGAACUUCAUUGGGUGCUCGGAGAUUCCCAGAAUGUGGAGGAACUGAGGACAGAAGGUCUGCCCUUAGGGCUCAUUGCUCAUGGAAAAACAACACAGUCUGUCUUUGAGUACUACGUACAAGAUGCUAUGGAGCUGGUCGCAAGAGCUGUAGCCACAGCCACCAUGAUCCAACCAGAACUUGCUCUCAUUCCCAGCACAAUGAACUGCAUGGAGGUGGAAACUACAAACCUCACUUCAGGACAAUAUUUAUCAAGGUUUCUAGCCAACACCACUUUCAGAGGCCUCAGUGGUUCCAUCAAAGUAAAAGGUUCCACCAUCAUCAGCUCAGAAAACAACUUUUUCAUCUGGAAUCUGCAACAUGACCCCGUGGGAAAGCCAAUGUGGACCCGCUUGGGCAGCUGGCAGGGGGGAAAGAUUGCCAUGGACUAUGGAAUAUGGCCAGAGCAGGCACAGAGACAUAAAACCCACUUCCAAUACCCAAGCAAACUACAUUUGAGAGUGGUUACCCUGAUUGAGCAUCCAUUUGUCUUCACGAGGGAGGUAGAUGAUGAAGGUUUGUGCCCUGCUGGCCAACUCUGUCUAGACCCCAUGACUAAUGACUCUUCCAUAUUGGACAGCCUUUUUAGCAGCCUCCAUAGCAGUAAUGAUACAGUACCCAUCAAAUUCAAGAAGUGUUGCUAUGGAUAUUGCAUUGAUCUGCUGGAAAAGUUAGCAGAAGACAUGAACUUUGAUUUUGACCUUUAUAUUGUUGGGGAUGGGAAGUAUGGAGCCUGGAAAAAUGGGCACUGGACUGGGCUUGUGGGUGAUCUCCUGAGUGGAGCCGCUCAUAUGGCAGUCACUUCCUUCAGCAUCAAUACUGCACGGAGCCAGGUGAUAGACUUCACCAGCCCUUUCUUCUCCACCAGCUUGGGCAUCUUAGUGAGGACCCAAGACACAGCAGCUCCCAUUGGAGCCUUCAUGUGGCCACUCCACUGGACAAUGUGGCUAGGGAUUUUUGUGGCUCUGCAUAUCACUGCCAUCUUCCUCACUCUAUAUGAAUGGAAGAGCCCCUUUGGUAUGACUCCCAAAGGGCGGAAUAGAAGCAAAGUCUUCUCCUUUUCUUCAGCCUUGAAUGUCUGUUAUGCCCUCUUGUUUGGUAGAACAGUUGCCAUCAAACCCCCAAAAUGCUGGACCGGAAGGUUUCUAAUGAAUCUUUGGGCCAUUUUCUGUAUGUUUUGCCUCUCUACAUACACGGCAAACUUGGCUGCUGUCAUGGUAGGUGAGAAGAUCUAUGAAGAACUUUCUGGAAUACAUGACCCUAAGCUGCAUCAUCCCUCCCAGGGUUUUCGCUUUGGAACUGUCCGAGAAAGUAGUGCUGAAGAUUAUGUGAGACAAAGCUUCCCAGAGAUGCAUGAAUAUAUGAGAAGAUACAAUGUUCCAGCCACCCCCGAUGGAGUGGAAUGUCUGAAGAAUGAUCCGGAGAAACUAGAUGCCUUCAUCAUGGACAAAGCCCUUCUGGAUUAUGAAGUGUCAAUAGAUGCUGACUGCAAACUUCUAACUGUGGGGAAGCCAUUUGCCAUAGAAGGAUAUGGCAUUGGUCUCCCAUCCAACUCUCCAUUGACUUCCAACAUAUCUGAGCUAAUCAGUCAAUACAAGUCACAUGGGUUUAUGGAUGUACUUCAUGACAAGUGGUACAAGGUCGUGCCCUGUGGCAAGAGAAGUUUCGUUGUCACUGAGACUUUGCAAAUGGGCAUCAAACACUUCUCAGGACUCUUUGUGCUGCUGUGCAUCGGAUUUGGUCUGUCCAUCUUGACAACCAUUGGUGAGCACAUAGUGUACAGGCUGCUGCUACCACGAAUCAAAAACAAGUCCAAGCUGCAAUACUGGCUCCAUACCAGCCAGAGAUUACAUAGAGCACUAAACACAUCAUUUGUAGAGGAAAAGCAGCAGCGUUUCAAGACCAAGCGUGUGGAAAAGAGGUAAGAAGAGGCCAAUGUCUUUACAUUUACUAAAAUAAAAGUUUAGCAAUGUAACUGUAUAAAUAUAUCAAAUUAGCACAAUUUGUUGCUAAACAAAGUCAGUAUAAAUACAUGUGGUUUGACAUAGACAGAAAAGAAACCUAAAACAAACAAUAUAUGUGAACACAAUAUACUGUCAUGGUUGAAAGUGUAGAUGUGGACUCUAAGGUCAACCAUUUGGAUCCAAAUCCUGUCACUUAAAAUAUGUGUUACCUUGGGCAAGUUAUUUAUUUAACAUCUCUGUGUGUCAAGUUUCUCGUCUGUGAAAUUGAGAUAAAAACAGUAUCUACUUCCCAGAGUUGUAAAGAUUAAAUGAGACAACGCAUGUAAAGUCCUAAAAACAAGGCAAAUGCCUAAUAAAUGUUAGCUAUUAUUAUGUACAGAAUGCAUGUUAGACUUAAUUCAUGAGAACCUGUAGACAAUUUAUUUCUUGUGACACUGUUUUUUUGGCAUGUUUCCACUCCCUACCUCUUUCCAGCACUCUUAGGAAUACAGUAUUUCAAAUAUGCAGCAGACAUGUCCUGCCUAAUUCAUUUCCUGGCACUUUUCUACAAAUUCCCUAGGAGGGUGCAUCUCCUUAAUAAGAAAUAACAAGCUUUAAAUGCAUAGAUGAUAUUUGAAAAUCAUAAUUCCACACCUUCACCACAGCCAGCCUGUGGAUGACUGUUGCCUCGAUCAUGGUGACUAAAGAUGUCAGAAGCAUUUGGAUCUGGUUCCCAGCUGGCCUCUGUUGCCUGCUGCCUAAGGCAGCCCUCCUGGUUCUUUCACAUGCCCAGAGGCCUCAGAUGAGGGCACACCUCUCAUCUUAACAGAAGUAAAAGGAAUGGAAAUCGUGUUUUCUUUCAUUGCUUGUAUCUCCUCUGGGAUUGCUGCAGUCCCCUUCACUCCAGUUUGCACCUAGCUUUUCAAAAUCAUUUCCAUAUUUCUUAAAGUCUCUCCUUCCAUUCAGUGAGCACUCCCCUGCAACCCUUCUCAGUCCGUGGUUUUCCUGUAUCAUAUUGCCAGACUGUUAGUGACAAGCUGUAUACUACUCAGGUCACAGUUGUUCCAUGUCAUGUUACAUAUAUUUUUUCUAUAAUUAUUUUUAACAUAUGUUUUUCAGCAGAGGAACACAAGAAGACAUAACAGCAAAGAUAUCAUCUUACAAUGGCAAAAUAUUUGUUUGCUAGUUAUAAUAGAAACAGGAAGCCCAGUGAUCCCAUCUCCAACUGUGAUACAAUUCAUAUUCACACUUUCUUACUCAAAUUGAAAACUAAAUGUGUCUUUCCAGUCAACUUACCCACUUUUUCUUGGCAGAUUUUCCUCCUGAACCCCUUCUUUUAAGGAACUAUGGCAAAACAUGCCUUCAUGAUAUAUCUUGAGCUCACAUUUCCUGUGCCCACCUCUCUACAACCCAACAUUUGCAAACUUUCAAACACAUUGAGUGUCUGGGGUCCCACAGCUGUCAUGUCUCUUGAACAGUCCAGUGGAGUACUGAACUUCAGUGUUACAUAAUUGCUCCAUGGAAGACUAUUAUGCUCACUUUUAGUGCUAAAUACAGCUCUCUCACUGGUCACAUUACACUGCUAAGGCUGAAGAAGGCUUGAUACAAAACAUAACCUAAACAUUAUUGAGACCAAGAGUAUAACAUACUCAUUCCUCCCAAUCAGACACUAAAUCUUACAUUCAGCAUCUGUUACCUUGCACUCAUAGGUAUCCCAGAGCCAGACAUCAAUUAACAGAGUCCUGGUGAUGCUAGCAAUUAAGGUUUGCCACAGAGUCCAUCUUUUAUUUAUGCUUCAGCUAUAUAAUACAAAGCUCUGGAGAAAAUCAGACUGGCUGUCUCUACUUACCUGAUCACUGUAAUUGUCUGGAAAGUCCAAGAGAAUGUGUAGAUGCUCUACUCUCAAGUUUUCCCUGCUAUGAAUCAUUCUCGGGUAUUACAGUUAGGUGUGUUGGCUUGAAAAUGAUCUUUCCCUCUUCUUUCAGAAGAAUAGUUAUGCAAAUGCCCAUGCCUGCUACAACUGAACAUCUCUUUCCCCAU